rnacentral:rRNA from 1 species
ACGGAAGGCAGCAGUGGGGAAUAUUGGGCAAUGGGCGAAAGCCUGACCCAGCAACGUCGCGUGAAGGAAGAAGGCCUUCGGGUUGUAAACUUCUUUUAUCAGGGACGAAGAACGUGACGGUACCUGAUGAAUAAGCCACGGCUAACUACGUGCCAGCAGCCGCGGUAAUACGUAGGUGGCAAGCGUUAUCCGGAUUUACUGGGUGUAAAGGGCGCGUAGGCGGGGAUGCAAGUCAGGUGUGAAAUCUAUGGGCUUAACCCAUAAACUGCAUUUGAAACUGUAUCUCUUGAGUGUCGGAGAGGUAGAUGGAAUUCCUAGUGUAGCGGUGAAAUGCGUAGAUAUUAGGAGGAACACCAGUGGCGAAGGCGAUCUACUGGACGAUAACUGACGCUGAGGCGCGAAAGCGCGGGUAGCAAACAGGAUUAGAUACCCUGGUA